AUGAACGCUGGCGGCGUGCCUAAUACAUGCAAGUCGAGCGAACAGACGAGGAGCUUGCUCCUCUGACGUUAGCGGCGGACGGGUGAGUAACACGUGGAUAACCUACCUAUAAGACUGGGAUAACUUCGGGAAACCGGAGCUAAUACCGGAUAAUAUAUUGAACCGCAUGGUUCAAUAGUGAAAGACGGUUUUGCUGUCACUUAUAGAUGGAUCCGCGCCGCAUUAGCUAGUUGGUAAGGUAACGGCUUACCAAGGCAACGAUGCGUAGCCGACCUGAGAGGGUGAUCGGCCACACUGGAACUGAGACACGGUCCAGACUCCUACGGGAAGCAGCAGUAGGGAAUCUUCCGCAAUGGGCGAAAGCUUGACGGAGCAACGCCGCGUGAGUGAUGAAGGUCUUCGGAUCGUAAAACUCUGUUAUUAGGGAAGAACAAAUGUGUAAGUAACUAUGCACGUCUUGACGGUACCUAAUCAGAAAGCCACGGCUAACUACGUG
rnacentral:rRNA from 1 species